AUGAUACGGGAACGCUACCUCCCAUUCCCCUCGAUUACCAUAGUGUUCCACCAAGUUCGUUGUGCAAUUUUCAAAACCCUAGCUUCGAUGAACAACAAAAUCACAUUGCAGGGACGCUACCUCCCAUUCUCCUCGAUUACCGUAGUGUUCCACCAAGUCCGUCGUGCAAUUUUCAGAACCCUAACCUCGACGAACAACAAAAUCACUCUGCAAUCGUACCAAAUAAAUGAAACCACACAUAAUUCUGACUUUUGCUUUGCACAAGAGGAAGAACCGGCAAAGAACCAUCACUGCCCUGCCUGUCUCACAGGUUGGGACCAAACACGACAGAAACAUGGCCGCCGCACAACAGAAUCGGACCCAAAAGAGAAAAGGAAAAAAAAUCACACACACAUUCUCAAGCGGUGCGGCGCGGUGGCUCCUCCCCAUUCCCGAGUUCCGACCGGCCACCGAGACACGGACACACACACCCCGCGGCUCCGACCGACCAUGGCCGCCGCCUCCGCCGCCGCCCUCGCGUCGCCGCGCACCGCGCGGCAGCUCGUCGACGCCCUCACCGCGCACCUCUCCCUCUACCACGCCGCCAACCCUAGCAGCCCCUCCCCCUCCCCCUCCCCAUCCCCAUCCCCCACCCCGCGCGCCGCGAUCCUGCGGUGGCUGGCCGCGCUGCCGCCGCCGGCGCGGGCCGCGGCCUGCACGGCCCUCCUGCCGCCGCCCGCCGCGGCCGCGCUCCUCUCCAUGCUCCGCCGCCUCCGCCUCCGCGGCCACUCCUCCUUCUUCGUCCUCGCCGACCCGGCCCCCACCGACCCCUCCUCCCCCACCGUCCUCUCGCGCCUCUCCCGGGGCCUGCUCGCCCGGGCCGCCGCCGCGUCCCGCGUGCACGAGCUCCUCUUCGCCCGCGCGCUCCUCUUCACCGCCACCCCCGCCUCCCACCGCCCCGAUGCGAUCACGCUCGCCGAGCCCCUCCUCGCCGACCUCGACGCCUUCGUCGCCGCCAUGGACGAGAUCUCCGGCGGCGCCUUCCUCCGCGCAGGCGACGGCGAGGUGGAUUUGGCCGCAUUGGCGUCCGAGGAGUUCCCCGAGCUGCCCUGGCUGAAAGCCAAGGGGUACUACGUGAUCGAGGAGUUCGUCGCCAACUGGGUCGAGAUCGCGCUGCGGAUGUCGUGGGCGGCGGCCGCGGCCGGGGGAGGCGCCGGCGGUGGGAAGAAGGCGGUGAGGGUUGGGAGGUGCGUCAAGGAGAAGGCCGGGCUGGCGUCGACGGCCUUCUGGAGGGAGAAGGGGUAUGUGGACUGGUGGAUGCGGCUGGAGCCCCGGGUCAGAGCAAGGAUCACUGGGGCCUUCUUCGGGAAGAGUGCAAAGGCGCUGGCUAAUGAGAUUGAAGGAUCAGAUGUUGCUUCUAGCGAUUCUGGAUCAUUUCUUGCAGACAGUUUGUAUGGAAGUACACGGCAGUCAUUUUUCAGAAAGAAUCAACCUGGUUGCGGCGAUGUUGCAAGCAUUCUGUCUUGUAAAAAGAAGCCUGCUUUUGCUAAAGAAUUAAAAAGAUUGCUAGUGCUUCAGGAGAUAGUGUGUUUAAAGAGCAAUAUUACUUUCUGUGGCGGUGAUGCAAUCUUUCUCACUUCAUUAAUGUCAGCUGGCACUGUUGCUGACAAUAUACUCAUGAGAUUACGAAGACUUCUCAUGGUGGUGUCGACGGAAAGUAUAAAUUUGGAGCUCAUUGGGGAUGGAGCAUCAAAUAAUCCAAAAAAGAAUGUUGAAAAGACAAGUGUAGGUUCUCGAAAAGGAAAGAAGAAGUCUAGUAGCUCGAAAAAGCUAGCAGCGUCUUCCAAGUCGUCCAAGGACAAUGGAUGCAGUAGCACAGAAACCCGAAAUUCUAGGAUUGUGUCAAAGUCAAGCCAGCAGACUCCAUCUGUUCGAUGCACUAUUAUUGGACCCGCUUCUGAAGGAACUCCUUGCAAAGAAAUUGCACCAAUACCAAAGGCGGAGCAAGCUAUCAGGUCGGCGGAUUGCAAUAAUCAGUGUAACAAAAAGAAAAACAAACGUAAAGGGAAGGCAAAACUCUCUGAUCUUAUAAGAGCUGAGAACCCUGGACCUGGCAAACUGAAGACAGCUGUUGCUCAUGUUGCUACAGAAGCCUUGCAUAAAUCUGCCGAAGCAGUAGAUGCCCCACUGCGUGUCCCAUCUCAUGUGAAUACAUCCAGCAAUGACAUCCCUGAAGCAGUGGGUUGUUCUGAGUCUUCAAGUAUCUUUGAUGGAACUGAAGAAAAAGGCAUCAAAAGCAGCAGAAAACUGGAAGAUACCUUAUGUUCUAUGGUUAUCUCAUCAGUAACCACAGAGAGUUGUCAGAGUGCACAAAAACCUUCCAACUUUAGUGUGAAUGAGCAGAGCCCAUCACACACUAGUCUAAAUGAAUCCAUGGUCCAACCAUCUUUAUGUUCACCUUCCAGUAGUGAUAAUGUUUUAUCUGGUAAUCCAUGUAGAAACUCUGCUGACUCCUUGGUAAGAUCUGCACAGGAUAAGACUGGCUGUGAUAUAACACAGGGAGCUUUGCAUGGACUUGCUCCUGGUGUUGGUAAAGGAUACGAGAAACAAGUGGAUCAUAGUUCUGUUGUGACAACCGACAAACUUUUACCAUCAGUCAUUCCUGCUAACAUUCUCCAAAGUGCUAUAAGUGACAAUGGUACAGCAGUGAAGAAUGGUGUAGAUGAAUAUUAUGCAUUCAACCGGAACCUACUGGGAGGAACGUCAUAUGAGUGGCCUAGUGUAGCACCCCAUUUUGUAUCACCUGAAAUGCAACAGCGCCCUGCUGCAGCAGACAGGUUGCAUCUUGACGUUGGUUACAGAUGGCCUACUCAAUUUAACCAACCUUUCAUUCCUGCCAACCAUCAGGUGAGAAGCUCACCAGUUGAAGCUGGAUGCAAUCAAAUGUUAUCUUCUCUGUCAGUGCCCUUAAGUUUUGAUUGGCCUCCUGUUUUCAGAGGUUAUGGUAAAUUGACUCAAAAUGCUGCUUUAAGUUAUGAUCCAGUAUUUGCCCCACAUAUGCAGUCUUCUGCUUGGCCUGGGUUUCCUGCUCAACUAAUUCAGAGAGGUGGCAUUUGCAGUGAAAAAGAUAGGAAAUAUUUUAGCGAUAGUGACCCAAGAAACACAUCAGAUGUUGGGGAUGAUACUGAAAGCUAUUGGUUUUCUGAAGAAGAAUCAGAUGGCCGCGCAACUUCUGGAAGAGAUAUUAAUCAAUAUUUUGGCGGAGGCGUGAUGUAUUGGAGUCCUGCAGAACAUGCUGGAACGGGCUUUUCUAGGCCACCAUCUCUUAGUUCAGAUGACAGUGCUUGGGCAUGGCAUGAGGCAGAUGUUAGUCGAGUUGUCGAUGAUCUGGCUAUUGGGAUUCCAUCAUCAACAUAUAAUCCAACUGGUCCAUCGUCACCACCAUCCAGCCCAAGCCCAUUCUGUUCCCAGAAUGAACCUUCUGAUCCUUCUCCUCAGCCUGCUUGUCACUCAGUGGCAGGGAAUGACAUCAAUAAUGAAGCUUCACAUUCUCCAUCUUCCAUGCAAGACAGUCCUGAAGAUAAGAGUACUUCGGUUGUAAAGAGUCCAUCUUGUGCCAGUGAAAUAGUAAAGGGAGAUACAUUACCAUAUGCAAUGCUGCGGCCAAUAGUUGUUUCUAAUAUAUCACGAAGGCUAUCAAGAUCUGACUUUAGGGGUGGUCAUGAUCGCAGGAGCCCAUGUGUGUCUUCGACCAGGAGGGAUAUACCUCUUGUAAGAAGACCUCCAUCACCAGUAUUACUUAGUGUUCCUCGCAUGCCUCGGCCACCUCCUCCUUCUCCUGUUGGAGAGUCAAGAAAACGUGGAUUCCCAAUUGUUAGAUCUGGCAGUUCAAGCCCGCGGCAUUGGGGGAUGAGAAGUUUGUUUUCUGAUGAUAAAAUUUUCAAUAGGGCUCAGUUUUGCUUGGAUGGCCCUGAAGUCGUAUGGCCUUCAUGGGUGAAUAAAGGCACCUCUACUGGUACACUGGUACAAUCAAUUGAGGAUACUGUCUUGCAGGACCACCUUGUUAAGAUUUCACAGCUUUCACGUGAUCAACAUCCAGAUGUUGCAGUUCCUCUGCAGCCACCUGAUAUGUUAAAUGGUUCACCUCACAAGGCGUCCCUUUCUUUGAUGCACAAUGCUCUACAUGAAGAAAUUGAUCAAUUCUGUAAGCAGGUUGCUGCUGCAAAUCUGGUGACGAAGCCCUAUAUAAAUUGGGCUGUCAAAAGGGUCACACGGUGCCUGCAAGUCCUCUGGCCCCGCUCGCGUACAAAUCUAUUUGGCUCAAAUGCCACUGGUUUGGCCCUUCCAACUAGUGAUGUAGAUCUCGUGGUUUCUCUCCCCCCAGUCCGAAAUCUGGAACCUAUUAAAGAAGCUGGAAUUUUGGAAGGCCGCAAUGGCAUUAAGGAAACAUGCCUCCAGCAUGCGGCAAGGUGCCUUGGAAAUCAGGAUUGGGUUAGGAGUGAUUCCCUCAAAACGAUUGAAAACACAGCAAUACCUGUGAUCAUGCUUGUAGCCCAAGUACCUUGUGACAUAAAUAUGUCCAACGAGUACCCUUCUGUUCUGGAUAGCUCACAAGAAAUUUCAGUCAAUGUGCUUGGGGAGCAAGGGAGCCCUCCUCGUUCUGACAAUUCUAGUUCAGAAGGCAGCAACGCGCUUGCGGGCUCAAAAAUGAAUAAGGAUGAUUGUGAUGCUGUGCGGUCAAUACGUCUUGAUAUAAGUUUCAAAUCACCAUCCCACACAGGACUCCAGACUACUGAGUUGGUUGGUGAGCUGACUCAGCAAUUUCCUGCGGCUUUACCCCUUGCCUUAAUCAUGAAGAAGUUUUUGGCAGAUCGUAGUUUGGACCACCCAUAUUCGGGUGGUCUAAGCUCUUACUGUUUGGUGUUGUUAAUCACUCGUUUUCUUCAGCAUGAACAUCAUCUUGGUCGGCCUAUUAACCAAAAUCUAGGGAGCCUUUUGAUGGAUUUCCUGUAUUUUUUUGGGAAUGUGUUUGAUCCACGCCAUAUGCGUAUUUCCAUCCAAGGAAGUGGAAUUUAUUUGAACCGAGAAAGAGGGCACAGCAUUGAUCCAAUUCAUAUCGAUGACCCUCUUUGCCCUGCUAACAAUGUGGGCCGGAAUUGUUUCCGGAUCCACCAAUGCAUCAAGGCUUUUGCUGAUGCUUUUGCAGUUCUAGAGAACGAGCUACUGCAGUUCACUGCAGAAUGUAACAUGCCUUCAUCAUCAUUUAGCCUACUGAAGAAAAUAAUUCCAAGUAUUGAUUCUAAUGAGUUGUAG
rnacentral:rRNA from 1 species